GAUGAACGCUGGCGGCGUGCCUAACACAUGCAAGUCGAGCGAAAACACGAGGAGCUCUUUCCCCUACGGUUAGCGGGGGGCGGGCGAGUAACAAAUGGAUCACCUUCCUCUUUGACUUGGGUAAUAUCGGGGAAACAGGUACAAUAAUACCGCAUACAAUGUACCGCUUGGAUCAAUAGAUCUACAGAGCUUUCGCGUUUGUUUUAGCCGAUGCCGCACUCGCUAGUUGGCUAGGUAAAGGCUUACCAAGGCAACGAUACGUAGCCGACCUGAGAGGGUGAUCGGCCACACUGGAACUGAGACACGGUCCAGACUCCUACGGGAGGCAGCAGUAGGGAAUCUUCCGCAAUGGGCGAAAGCCUGACGGAGCAACGCCGCGUGAGUGAUGAAGGUCUUCGGAUCGUAAAACUCUGUUAUUAGGGAAGAACAAAUGUGUAAGUAACUAUGCACGUCUUGACGGUACCUAAUCAGAAAGCCACGGCUAACUACGUG
rnacentral:rRNA from 1 species